rnacentral:rRNA from 1 species
GAUGAACGCUGGCGGCGUGCCUAAUACAUGAAAGUCGAGCGAAGCGGGGACGGGUGAGUAAAACGUGGAUAACCUCCUAUAAGACUGGGAUAACUUCGGGAAACCGGAGCUAAACCGGAAAAUUAUAGAUGAAUCCGCGCUGCAUUAGCUAGUUGGUAAUGUAAAGGCUUACCAAGGCAACGAUGCAUAGCCGACCUGAGAGUGUGAUCGGCCACACUGGAACUGAGACACGGUCCAGACUCCUACGGGAGGCAGCAGUAGGGAAUCUUCCGCAAUGGGCGAAAGCCUGACGGAGCAACGCCGCGUGGGUGAUGAAGGUCUUCGGAUCGUAAACCUCUGUUGUUAGAGAAGCGGUAUCUAACCAGAAAGCCACGGCUAACUACGUGCCAGCAGCCGCGGUAAUUC